GAUGAACGCUGGCGGCGUGCCUAAUACAUGCAAGUAGAACGCUGAAGGAAGGAGCUUGCUCUUUCCGGAUGAGUUGCGAACGGGUGAGUAACGCGUAGGUAACCUGCCUGGUAGCGGGGGAUAACUAUUGGAAACGAUAGCUAAUACCGCAUAACAGUAGAUGUUGCAUGAUAUCUACUUAAAAGGUGCAAUUGCACCACUACCAGAUGGACCUGCGUUGUAUUAGCUAGUUGGUGAGGUAACGGCUCACCAAGGCGACGAUACAUAGCCGACCUGAGAGGGUGAUCGGCCACACUGGGACUGAGACACGGCCCAGACUCCUACGGGAGGCAGCAGUAGGGAAAAUUAGGCAAUGGACGGAAGUCUGACCGAGAAACGCCGCGUGAGUGAAGAAGGUUGUCGGAUCGUAAAGCUCUGUUGUAAGAGAAGAACGAGUGUGAGAGUGGAAAGUUCACACUGUGACGGUAUCUUACCAGAAAGGGACGGCUAACUACGUG
rnacentral:rRNA from 1 species